UACGUAGGGCGCAAGCGUUGUCCGGAAUUAUUGGGCGUAAAGAGCUCGUAGGCGGUUUGUCGCGUCUGCUGUGAAAACGCGAGGCUUAACCUCGCGCCUGCAGUGGGUACGGGCAGACUAGAGUGCGGUAGGGGAGACUGGAAUUCCUGGUGUAGCGGUGGAAUGCGCAGAUAUCAGGAGGAACACCGGUGGCGAAGGCGGGUCUCUGGGCCGUUACUGACGCUGAGGAGCGAAAGCAUGGGGAGCGAAC
rnacentral:rRNA from 1 species